UACGGAGGAUCCGAGCGUUAUCCGGAUUUAUUGGGUUUAAAGGGUGCGCAGGCGGUCUGUUAAGUCAGCGGUCAAAGCCCGGGGCUCAACCCCGUCGAGCCGUUGAAACUGGCAGACUUGAGUUGGCGAGAAGUACGCGGAAUGCGCGGUGUAGCGGUGAAAUGCAUAGAUAUCACGCAGAACCCCGAUUGCGAAGGCAGCAUACCGGCGCCCUACUGACGCUGAGGCACGAAAGUGCGGGUAUCGAACAGG
rnacentral:rRNA from 1 species